CCCCUCUCAGGGUCGCAUUUGGAGAGUUUCCAGUACUCUAGCAGUCUCAGCUACAGGAGGGAGAGUCGAGCAGAGGCCUACCCAUUCCAUUCCUAGCUUGGUCAGUGGCUAGUGAGUGGAGGUCAACCUGCUACAAGU